rnacentral:rRNA from 1 species
GACGAACGCUGGCGGCGUGCUUAACACAUGCAAGUCGAACGGAAAGGCCCUGCUUUUGUGGGGUGCUCGAGUGGCGAACGGGUGAGUAGCACGUGAGUAACCUGCCCUUGACUUUGGGAUAACUUCAGGAAACUGGGGCUAAUACCGGAUAGGAGCUCCUGCUGCAUGGUGGGGGUUGGAAAGUUUCGGCGGUUGGGGAUGGACUCGCGGCUUAUCAGCUUGUUGGUGGGUAGUGGCUUACCAAGGCUUUGACGGGUAGCCGGCCUGAGAGGGUGACCGGCCACAUUGGGACUGAGAUACGGCCCAGACUCCUACGGGAGGCAGCAGUGGGGAAUAUUGCACAAUGGGCGGAAGCCUGAUGCAGCAACGCCGCGUGCGGGAUGACGGCCUUCGGGUUGUAAACCGCUUUCGCCUGUGACGAAGCGUGAGUGACGGUAAUGGGUAAAGAAGCACCGGCUAACUACGUG